rnacentral:rRNA from 1 species
CUACGGGAGGCAGCAGUGAGGAAUAUUGGACAAUGGGCGCAAGCCUGAUCCAGCCAUGCCGCGUGCAGGAUGACGGUCCUAUGGAUUGUAAACUGCUUUUGUACGGGAAGAAACAAUUCUACGUGUAGAGGCUUGACGGUACUGUAAGAAUAAGGAUCGGCUAACUCCGUGCCAGCAGC